rnacentral:misc_RNA from 1 species
GAUGAAGAACGCAGCGAAAUGCGAUACGUAAUGUGAAUUGCAAAUUCAGUGAAUCAUCGAGUCUUUGAACGCACAUUGCGCCCCCUGGUAUUCCGGGGGGCAUGCCUGUCCGAGCGUCAUUGCUGCCCUCAAGCACGGCUUGUGUGUUGGGCCCCGUCCCCCGAUCCCGGGGGACGGGCCCGAAAGGCAGCGGCGGCACCGCGUCCGGUCCUCGAGCGUAUGGGGCUUUGUCACCCGCUCUGUAGGCCCGGCCGGCGCUUGCCGAUCAACCCAAAUUUUUUAUCCAGGUUGACCUCGGAUCAGGUAGGGAUACCCGCUGAACUUAAGCAUAUCAAUAAGCGGAGGA